rnacentral:pre_miRNA from 14 species
UUCUUGUCCUAGCCUAAUGUUGAAAGAUCCCACGCAGAGAGACCCUUACUCAAGUCUUGGGAAAUCGCGGACCCCAGACACAGAGAGACCA